UUUCUGAAUUUAUUUGUAGCGCCCGUGUCCUGUUUUGGGGGGUGUCGAUCCACACCACUGAUGGGUGUCGCUCGACACCAGCAUGUUUUGAUUUGAUCGGUUCGUUUUUAAUUGCAAAAAUCGUGUGGUUAUUGGGUUGGUUAACCCUAGGUCGUGUUUAAAAGAGGGAAGGUCGUGUGCUGUCUCUUCCCAGCCGCUUUUUAACACUUCCAGAGAUAAAGGAAAAGGUUCUAGAGCUUCUGAGGGUUUUUGUGAGUCUUUUGGUGGUGUUUGGUGGGUGAUCUUGGUGGUUUAAGGCUAGUAGAGGUUAGAUCCGUGUUGUGUGGUGUUAGAGGAGGCAGAUCCUUCCUUGUUCUUCCCUGUUUUCGUUGCUGUUCUUCUUGUUUAAAGAGGUAAAAGCAAAGUGUGACCCGUGGAAUCAUGGCUAGGAGAGGAGGAUGAUCUAGGCGCUCAUUGGUGUUUAGAUUAUUGUAGGGUUGUUAGGAUAUUAGAUUGGAAUUUAGAAGCAUGUUAGGAUGAUUAUGUUUCUGGAAUAAUGAUAGUUGACCUUGUUGGUUUAAUGGAUUUGUUUGGUUGGAUUUUUAUUUAAUUUUUCCGCAGGUUACGUUGAUUGGUUGUGUUA